rnacentral:misc_RNA from 1 species
AAAUAAAAUAAAAAAGAAGAAGAAGAUAUUAUUCAUAACAGAGCAAGUGUUCAAUAAAGCACAUUAAGGUAGAAAUACACAUUUACCAACCAUUCCAACUUCCCCAAAGAUGUUGCUUCCUCUUUUUUAACUUAGUCAAGUAUUACCAAAACUAAUACAUGUCAAAUGCAUUUCUUCACAUGUCAAAUUAGCACCUGAAUUAAUCAUCAAUUCAACCACUACUGUUUCAUUGAUAAGGGAAACAGGUAAGUCAAAUUGGGUAAACCAAUUACACUACACACCUCUUUCCUCUUUCAAGUGAUGAGCCCUAUAACCCCAAGGAAGAAAUCUACAGAGAUAUAUUAUAUUGUAUUGUAUCUACCACUGUCAAGAGCAGAAACAUACAAAUGGCAAAUGAAUUUUGUGAGGACAAGGAGAGAACAAGUUAAAUAUCAACUGCUCAGUGGUAUAAGGAUGAAGACACCCAAGGAAGAGCCAAAGAGGGCUAAAGAGCCUUCUAGGAACUCCAGAAGGAACUUUGCACGGUAUGCUAAAUGAAAGUGCUGUCCAUACCGCAACAAGGAAUGCCAUAGUCUGCAAUGAAACUUCUGAACCACCCUGUAGAAAAUGGAGCAAAAUUUUUCAGAUCCCAUAAGUAAAGCUAUUAAUUUCAAAUCACAAAAAUGAAGCACAACGUAGCUUGACAUACUAUCAUGAUCUUGCCUUCUGCUCUUCAAGGCAGUGUAAAGGCCAAAGGUGAAUAUUAUACCCAACAAUCCAUUUGUUUAAAGCCACUGAAAUUAAUACAUCUCUACCUUUGGAUCUUCAGCUUUGGGAAUUUUGAACGAACUCACCAUUCCCUGUGAUCCAAACAUCGUUGGGCAUCCCACUAAUCAAGUAGCUAAACUUGAUAAGCUAAAAUUCAUUUGUUGUUUUAUUGGUUUGACUUACUUUAACAGCCUCUUGAAUGAAUUAAACAGCAAUCAACAUGCCAAAAAUUUCGUCUGCAAUCCUAGUAAAUCUAUUGAUAAUAGUGCAAGCAUUGAAUGUUGCAAGGAGCAGUCAAAGGGCUGUCCAGAGGUUCAUUGUACUGAGCAGCAACACAAAACAUUGCAUCCAAGUAAUUUUUGAGUUGCAUCCAAGUAAUUUUUGGGCUCAAUAGAAUCCUUCCAGGGACUACAAGGAAAGAAAAUUCACAUAAAGAUGACAAAUUAUUGUAAUAAUGAUCCAUAAAAGCAUGUGAAAAAGUAAUGUUAUUACUUGCAAUUCAUGAAUUUCUUGCUGAGGAUUGAAGGGUCAUUUGAUUUAGAAGCAAUUUCAUCGAUUUCCAUCCAUGACUUUUGUAUUGUCUCAUAGCAAAUCUCACUAGCUUCCUGCGAAAGGAAUUCAUAAUUAAUCAACCUUUUUUUCACAUCAACAUUUACACCCUUGCAAAAGCUUAAUUAAGGAAAAAAAUGAUAUAUUUACUCUAAAAUCCUUGGUGACAAUAGAAUAGUAACCCUACAUGGUGAUAUCAUCAAAGUAUAGAACGGAUACCGAUGAGGCCAAAGCUCCAAGGGCUACGUGAGGGCAAAGUCAAACCAUAAAGCCAGCACUAGGAACACCAGUGAAAAAAAAAAUUAAAUAAGAUAAAAACCAUAUAUCUAUAUGUAAUGGUUGUGAACAACAAAUAUGCAGAGUAGUGUCCUACUUCCACCAUAUGAUCCUCCAAUGACUAUAACUGGAGAAUUUUCAGCAUGCAAAAUUUUUCUUCACAUGAAUGCUAAUUUCUCCUUAGUCUGCAAUAGCUUGUGCAGAUUUGAAAUACCCACAAAUGCUUUCAUUUUCAAGGCUUCUUCCUUUGAUUAAAAUGGGAUUGAUUUCCCAUAAAUCAAUUCUUUUUAAUAAAUCAGAUAACUUCGUUAAUAAUAACUCAGCAUGGAAUUGCUAACUAACCUGAGGUCAAUAGACAUUUCCAGAUCUGAAACUAAACAUAUCAAUGGAUUAAAGCUGACACCUAAAGCAAGUUUUUAUAGAUUGGCCACAAGGGAUGUAUAUACUCUAUCAUCAGGGGUAAGGCCUGCUUCCUUCAUCUCAUCAUACAAUCUAAAAGCUUCUUCUAAUCUUCCCUCCUUGGACAAGCCAGAUAUUAUUACUGUGUAAGCGACCACAUUGAUAACUAAACCCUUUUGACGCAUUUCAUUAAACAAAUUCAGGGCCUUUUCUAUCUUCCCAAAAAUGCACUCCCCGUGUAUAAGUGAUGUGUAUGUAUAGAUGUCAGCAGUCAUUCCCCUAGUUUCCAUUUCAUCUUUUAGCCUAUAGGCCUCCUUCAACUUCCCUUUCUUGCCGUAACCAUCCAUUAGAGUAUUAUAUGAAACAAUAUUAGGCGUCUCACCCUUUUUUUCCAUCUCCUGAAAAAGCCUUUCUGCUUCCACGAAGUUCCCUUCCUUGCAAUAUAUGUCAAUCAAAGUCGUAAAACUCACAGCAUUAGGAUUCACACCCUUCUCUACCAUUGUAAAUAGACACCUCUUUGCUUCCUCAAGCCUACCCAAUUUACAAAACCCACUGGCAAUGGUGUUAUAAGUGUAGAUAUCAUUCUCAAAUCCUUUCAUCUCCAUUACAUCCUGAACCCGUAAAGCCUCAUCAAUCAUUCCCUUUUUGCUAUAACCAUUUAUAAGUGUGUUAAAUAUCACCUGAUUCACAUCAAGCCCUUGACAUUGCAUUUCAUUCACCAACAUCUCAGCUGCAUCCAUUUUCCCAGACUUGCAAACUCCAUCAAUCAAAGCACCGAAAGUGUGAACAUUUGCAAGAAGGCCUCUCUCAGUCAACUCAUCAAACAACACAAAUGCCCUUUUCAUAUUCCCGAGUUUACAUUGCCAACUAAUCAUCGUGGUAUACACAUGAAUAUCAACUCCUACACCUCUCUCAUGCAUCUCUUCAAACAUUUUCUCAGCCUCAUCAAUCUGGCCAGAACUGCCAUACCAAUCAAUCAAAAGUGUAUAUGUAGCAGCAUUAUACACAAUUUUAUCCAUCUCCAUUAACCUCAACAUCUCAUCAACUUGUUCAACAUUCAUUCUUUUAAUGUAGGAGUUUAGAAGUGUAUUAUAUGUGACAACAUUUGGUUUAAUCCCUUUACCAGACAUUUCAAUCAUCAAAUCCUCAGCCGUCUUAACCAUGCCUUUCUUACACAACCCAUUAACCACAAUUGUCAAAGAAUAAACAGUAAUAUCUACCUUAUACUUGACCAUUUUUUUAAAGAAACCCAAACACAUCAACAUUUUAUCACAUCUCUGCAACGCAAGCAUAUACACUAUACAUGAUCUAAUAUCAAUCUUUAAUUCAUUAUUCACCAUAUAAUCAAAGACCCGUAAACCCUCUUCAAACAUGUUAUUAUCUGCAUAAACUCUAAACAACAUAUCACACAUAAUUUCAACAAAUUCUGGCUCAUGAAAUCCAUUAUCAAUCAAAUAAAACAAGUCUAAGACUGAGCAUAGAAGAUUCUUAUCCAUAAGAAUCCAAGUCAAAACAUUCUUCAUUUCUGCAAAUUUUCUAGCCUGAAAUAAUCUGGCAAUGAGGAUUAUAUGUGCUCGAAGAUCAGGUUUAUGACAAAAGAGGAACUGAUGUCUUCUAAGGAAGUUAAAGAAAGUCAAGCAACGAUUAGGUGGGAGACUUGGGUUCAAGAGAAUAAGGUUGGUUACAUGAGAAUCAAGAUUUGACAGCAGAGAUGGUGUGGUUUCAAGUGCUUUUGGGCCUGCUUUAAUUAAGAUUUUAGCAAUCUUUUCUGCAAUUUCUUGGCUUGAUAUUGAAGUGAGAAUUGUGGGAUUGGAUAUCUUGAAUGCUUGCAAAAGUUUCUGAUUUGCCAUUUGAGGUACAAAGAAGUUCACUAUUGUCACCCUUGAGAAAGAAAAGUCAAGGUAAUUAUAUAGUUUUUGAAGACAGGACUGGUUUCCUCUCUAAAACAAUCUAACUCUCUAGUAAGUUAAUUUUAGAAUUUAAUCACAGACGCACAGUCCAGUGGCCACCGUCAUUUAUAGGUGUAUUCCCCUUUCUCAUUUCCCUGUCAAACAAAGUACAUAGUAGGUCACUCAUUUACAAGUAUACAUAACUGAAAUCAUGAACUUGACAUAUAUAUAAAUAUAUAAAUAUAAAAUGAUAUAAAAGUAACAAGACCUUACCUCCACUAGCCACCAUGUUAGAAAAAUCAGCUGGAGCCACAAUUGAGAACAACAGAAAUUGAUAAUGCAAAUUGUAGUACCAAGAGCGGCGAGCUUGAGGUUGAA